CGGGGUUACUUGAUUGACAGUCCGGUCUGGAAUGAUUGACAGGUCCUAUGGAGGAAGCAGCAGAGACUCUGCUCUCCUCGUUUGGAUUAAUUCUGAUAUAAUAACUGUUGGUUUAUUUAUCGGUGGCGCAGCAGAACAUUUUCCACAGACAGUUUUCCUGCCCGUUGGCUUGUUUUAACCAGUUUUCUACCUUCGGCUGAUUCUACCAGCAGACACUGAAAGGACUCUGAUAGUUCGAGUGAAAGCAGCAGUUCCUCCUUAAGGUCAGAGAUUGCAGCAUCUGAGGGCCUCUUCAAAAGAAGACGUAGUUGAUGAAGGCGUUCUGGAGCAGGACCAGAAAGACCACGACCAAGCAGCCUUGAGAUCUUAGGCAGCGUCUCCCUCAGGUCCCUCUCUAUCUCCCCACACAUCCACCAAGCACUGGAACACAUCUCCAAAGUUCUGCCGGGCCAGCUCAGCUUCCCCUCAGAAGAAGUUCCACCAGAUGAAGGAGCCUUUUGAGAGGCAGCUGGCAUCGUGAUUGGACUGUACUUUGGUCUGUUCCAAUCCAGCUUCAGCUCCAGAGACGGCAGGCGGGACGAGUCAACGGAGGCCGGGUGGACGAAGGCAUGCAGCUGAGUACAAUCCAGAAAAAAACAGAGGAGGAGUGCAGCGGCCAGAACACACAGAGUAUGUCUCUUAGAAAACAUCAUAGUAUAGCCUUUGCUAUGAAAAAAUGCCAUCAUAUACAUCGUAUAUUGUACAAAUAACAAAUGGAAGGAAAGAGACAUACAUUGUAGAAUUGUAGUAAUUGUGGGC
ensembl:lncRNA